UCUCGAUUAAAUCUUAAUCAAAUUAGAAAUUAAUUAACUUUAAAUUUUGAUCAAAUCAAGAAUCUUAAUCAAAUUAAAAAUUAAUCAAGUUCAAAUUCUGAUCAAAUCAAAAAUCGAACAUCUUUAGCGAUUAGGUCAUCUCAUUAUCUAAUCGAGAUAAAUCUAAUUGAAUCUAAUUGUUGCCCAGCUAUGUAACCCAAGAGGGGGGG
rnacentral:lncRNA from 1 species